CUCUUAGAUAGUUGUCUCCAGAGAUAGCUCCAGUUUGUGCCACCAAAUCCUUUCUCUGUUUCAUGAAACUGCAUUAGAAAACUGUUAAAAUGGACAAUAAAGAUAGGACUUACUUUUUUAUCAGGAUCUCAAACUAAUUUAGGGAAACAUCAUCCUCAUUUUUAUCUCAAACUUCACAUAUGCUUUAAUGAAUAAGAUAAUGUAAGUGAUUAUAUGAGAUGACAUGUGAGAACAUUCUUUGCAAUGAGGUUAUACAAAUGGAAGGCAGUAUUAUGGUUACAAUUUCAUGUCUGAAUCCUCCAGAUUCCUCUGGGGGCUUAGCCCCAGGACAGUACAGUGUUGAGAGCUGAGUUUCCAGUAGACCAGCAGAGGUGAUGUUUACCAUUCUAUUCUCAGAGUUAAGUGGGUGGGGCAUGGGGCAAGUGUUGUUGCAAGGCUGAUGUGUUCAUUCUCCCUCCUUCUCAAACUUGUUUUGGCAGUCUGGUGAGCUGGCCAACUUCUUCUGAAGACAGUAAGUGGGGGAGGGAUUGGGUCAGGAGUAAAUCCUGUCCUGUUGACCUGGCUUUUUUCCCUCUUUGAACAGCAAUUUCACAUUGACUCAGGUUGUCCUUAUCUAGAGUUCAACAUUUAUGCUUCUAAGAUUCUGAACUUCUUGCUCCUGAAGCCCAAAGAGGCAAAUAAAUGGGAAAGAAAAAUCAAGAAAAAAAAAAAAAAAUGAAGGUGGAGCAGAAAGAAACCUAGAAAAGCAAGAGGAUAGAGAGGAAAAGAUUGAGGUGGAAAUUACUAUUGGGUGAAGAUCUUAAUUGUUCUGGGUUUCAGUUCCCUCUUCCGUAACACAGGAAUAAUCAAGUAAAUAGCUUUUAGGACAGUUGGGAUGAUUCUAUAAGAUAAAAUAUAUAGAGGACAUGGAGCAGUGCCUGGCAUAUUACUGGUGACCAGGAAUUAUUAUUAUAUUAUGUUGUUCUAACAAAAGACUUGGAGUAUAAGGAAUAAAUUUUAAAAGUCACGUUUGCAUCAGUCUAUCUUUGGCCAAAGAUAGCUCCGGGUUUUUUCGUUUUUUUUUUUUUCUGAGAAACAAACUGUAAUCUCUACCCUUGCUGAAAUGGAUGGUAGAGGUGAUCUGAUGUUUGCCUUCUGGUCACCAUCCUUGGUGCCCAUGAGCCAAGUAUGCAAUGAAUAUGUACAGAUUUGCUUCCUCCAAACCCUAAUUAUGAAUCUAUGAUUCUCAUGUGUGUGGCCAGAGGUUUUUUAUCACCUUUGAUUUACUUUUCAAUAAAAAUGACAUGAUUCAUCAAAUAACUCAGGGCCUUUUGCAAUGGGAAUAAUUAGAAAGUAGCCAGAGAUGCCUCAUGGGUGAUUCUGAUCUCACUGAAGAGUCACGCCCACGCCCUGAGUCCCAAGCGUUGUUUGGUGCUAAGCCUGAACAGCUGCCACCUGGGUUCUGGAUUCAGCUGGUUUGAUUUUGGAUGGUGUAAGAGGCACUAGAAAAAGAUGAUAAAAGGCCUUAAGAAAUCCUUUUCAAUUAUAGGUGUGGUGUUUUCAAAAUUACCCUGUUUUCAGUGAGCUCAGCUCCACCCAGAGGAAAGAGAAGUGUGUAGCCAGCCGAAGAGAAAUGACUUUGUUAAAGCUCUGCAUAUAGAAAAAUGGAAGAAGGAGCCUGGGGAACGAAGCUGGUGCCUCCAUCUUUACCCUCAGGCCACCUCGCUGAAAAUGAAGGAUCCUGAGAGUCUAAAAGAUAAUGCUACCAAAGGAAAGAAGGAGUCCUGAGUCAUUGCUUCGAGGAGAGAAUUACACCACCAAGAAUGAACGCUGGGGCCAGCCCAGUGGUGCAGCAGUUAAGUUCUCACGUUCCGCUUCUCGGUGGCCCAGGGUUUGCCGG